rnacentral:rRNA from 1 species
UUUCCGGUUGAUCCUGCCGGACCUGACUGCUAUCGGAUUGAUACUAAGCCAUGCGAGUCUUUGUAGUAAUACAAGGCAUACGGCUCAGUAACGCGUAGUCAACCUACCCUAUGGACAAGAAUAAUCUCGGGAAACUGAGCAUAAUUCUUGAUAGAUCAUAAUGCCUGGAAUGGUUUAUGGUUAAAAUGAUUCGUCGCCAUAGGAUGGGACUGCGGCCUAUCAGCUUGUUGGUGAGGUAAUGGCCCACCAAGGCGAUUACAGGUACGGGCUCUGAGAGGAGAAGCCCGGAGAUGGGUACUGAGACAAGGACCCAGGCCCUAUGGGGCGCAGCAGGCGAGAAAACUUUGCAAUGUGCGAAAGCACGACAAGGUUAGUCCGAGUGAUUUCUGCUAAAGAGAUCUUUUGCUAGUUAUAAAACCACUAGUGAAUAAGGGGUGGGCAAGUUCUGGUGUCAGCCGCCGCGGUAAAACCAGCACCUCAAGUGGUCAGGAUGAUUAUUGGGCCUAAAGCAUCCGUAGCCGGCUCUGUAAGUUUUCGGUUAAAUCUAUGCGCUCAACGUAUGGGCUGCCGAAAAUACUGUAGAGAUAGGGAGUGGGAGAGGUAGACGGUACUCGGUAGGAAGGGGUAAAAUCCUUUGAUCUAUCGAUGACCACCUGUGGCGAAGGCGGUCUACCAGAACACGUUCGACGGUGAGGGAUGAAAGCUGGGGGAGCAAACCGGAUUAGAUACCCGGGUAGUCCCAGCCGUAAACGAUGCAGACUCGAUGAUGCGUUGGCAUAUAGCCAGUGCAGUGUCGCAGGGAAGCCGUUAAGUCUGCCGCCUGGGAAGUACGUACGCGAGUAUGAAACUUAAAGGAAUUGGCGGGGGAGCACCACAAGGGGUGAAGCCUGCGGUUCAAUUGGAUUCAACGCCGGA